rnacentral:rRNA from 1 species
AGGAAGUCGAACGGUAGCACAGAGAGCUUGCUCUCGGGUGACGAGUGGCGGACGGGUGAGUAAUGUCUGGGAAACUGCCUGAUGGAGGGGGAUAACUACUGGAAACGGUAGCUAAUACCGCAUAACGUCGCAAGCCAAAGAGGGGGACCUUCGGGCCUCUUGCCAUCAGAUGUGCCCAGAUGGGAUUAGCUAGUAGGUGGGGUAACGGCUCACCUAGGCGACGAUCCCUAGCUGGUCUGAGAGGAUGACCAGCCACACUGGAACUGAGACACGGUCCAGACUCCUACGGGAGGCAGCAGUGGGGAAUAUUGCACAAUGGGCGCAAGCUGAUGCAGCCAUGCCGCGUGUAUGAAGAAGGCCUUCGGGUUGUAAAGUACUUUCAGCGGGGAGGAAGGUGUUGAGGUUAAUAACCUCAUCAAUUGACGUUACCCGCAGAAGAAGCACCGGCUAACUCCGUGCCAGCAGCCGCGGUAAUACGGAGGGUGCAAGCGUUAAUCGGAAUUACUGGGCGUAAAGCGCACGCAGGCGGUCUGUCAAGUCGGAUGUGAAAUCCCCGGGCUCAACCUGGGAACUGCAUUCGAAACUGGCAGGCUAGAGUCUUGUAGAGGGGGGUAGAAUUCCAGGUGUAGCGGUGAAAUGCGUAGAGAUCUGGAGGAAUACCGGUGGCGAAGGCGGCCCCCUGGACAAAGACUAACGUUCAGGUCGCGAAAGCGUAGCCGAGCAAACAGGGUUUAGUUACCUGGUAGUCCACGCCGUAAACGAUGUCGACUUGGAGGUUGUGCCCUUGAGGCGUGGCUUCCGGAGCUAACGCGUUAAGUCGACCGCCCUGGGGAAGUGACGGCCGCAAGGUUAAAAACUCAAAUGAAUUGACGGGGGCCCGCACAAGCGUGGAGCAUGUGGUUUAAUUCGAUGCAACGCGAAGAACCUUACCUACUCUUGACAUCCAGAGAACUUAGCAGAGAUGCUUUGGUGCCUUCGGGAACUCUGAGACAGGUGCUGCAUGGCUGUCGUCAGCUCGUGUUGU